rnacentral:lncRNA from 1 species
GAUUCUAGACCUCCAGACCCCCUAUCCAGAGUCAUGUCCUCUGUAACCUGCAUUUUGGCCAUGUCCUGCCUAAUCACCUCUCCCCAAUGCUUCUUAGGCCUCCCUCUCCCUCGCCGACCACCAACAACCGCCAACCGCUCGCAGCUCCUCACCGGGGCAUCGGGACCCCUCCUCCGUACAUGCCCGAACCACCUCAGACUCGCUUCCCGCAUCUUCUCAUCCACCGGGGCCACCCCUACCUUCUGUCGAAUAACUUCAUUCUUAAUCUUAUCUAGCCUGGUGUGCCCACACAUCUACCGGGUCUAACCACAGCUCGGUAGAAUUUCCCUUUUAGUUUGUGCGGGAUUUUCUUGUCACACAGGACCCCUGAAGAAAGCCUCCACUUCAGCCACCCCGCACCUAUCCUAUGGGUGACGUCCCCGUCAAUCUCUCCGUCCCCCUGAAUCACAGACCCAAGAUAUCUCACACUGUCCCUCUUGGCGAUGGCUUGAGAACCAAGCAUCACUUCCCCGCCUACCCCACUCGGCUCGUCGCCAAACUUGCACUCCAGAUAUUCAGUCUUAGAUCUGCUUAUUUUUCACUUCCCCGCUUACCCCACUCGGCUCGUCGCCAAACUUGCACUCUAGAUAUUCUGUCUUAGAUCUGCUAAUCUUGAAACCCUUAGACUCAAGGGUCUGUCUCCAUAUCUCUAACCUUGCACUAACACCGGCCCUCGUCUCGUCUAUCAAUAUUAUAUCAUCGGCAAAG